AACUGGAACAAGACCUUCCUCAGAAUCCCUUUCUUGGUCUGCUGAAAUUUUGUCUAAAAGUUAUAUCCUACCUCGUCCCAAAAGACCCAAGAUCAUAUCUACUGCAUUGCCCACAAGUGAAAUGACCCCUGUCAAGUUGAGCAGCAGACGGAAAGCUGUCUUGUUAUAUGAAGAAUUAAAAGCAAAAGCUCCAGAAAUGCUGGCCCAAAUUAUUCAUCUGCUUGCACGUUGUCGUAAGAAGGGCAUCCAUGUGCCAUGAAGGGUCAGGGUUAUUUCUGAAUUCAGCUUGAAUGAGCUAACUGUCACCCUGCCAAGGGAAACAGUGCUACUGGGUUUUGUCCUAUUCAUAUUCCCUCCAGGUCUUCCCUAGAGCCCUGCAAGGCAGAGAAAGCUGCCUCUGAGGCAGUGAUUGCACAGAUGGCACAUCUGUCUCCCUCAGCUAAAUGUCAGGAAAUGCUCCUCACAUUCCAGCUUAGAUUUGCCCAUUUGCUGAAUUAAAUCAUCAACCUGAAGACCGAAGAAGCUCAACGGCUAGUAAGGGUUAUUUCAUUGUGUUCCUUUUCUUUCACAACUGCAGCAACGGGAAUCACCUCUCGUUGGGGAAACCGUGCUAGAACCUUAAACUUUCCUGUCGCUAAGUGGGGUGCACUACGUUUAUGGUUACAGUUCUGAAGAGACUGCCAGGAAGGCUUUGGAAAUGGGAUCCCUCUUUUCCCCUACCAAAAGCAAGAGGCGGCUGAAUUAAUACUGUAAAUAGAAGAAAGGGUGGAGAAGGAAAACUGUGGCCAACUGUUUGAACACAGGGUUAAAAUUGCACUCUUUUGUGGCGUGAUGGAGGAAAAGGAGUCUAAAAUCAGUUCACCAGCAUUCAGGACAAAAGGGAGUCGCGAUGCUUUCUGGGCAGGUAACCUGGGUGACUGGCGUACCGAGCCUGCUGGGCAGCCUCACGUCUCCGGAUCCCCAGACCAGGCCCUCAGCACCCCUCUUUCUUGCCUGCCUGGGUGUGCCAAUGUAGCUGAAGAGCUGAGGCUUUCCCCAGUACCGCAGGCUGCCAGCAUGAGUAGCCCCCGGCCAACGCUCCACAGUUUCCCCUGGUCUCUGCAGCGUGCUUCAGUUUCUCACUGUCCUCAGGAGAAAACGGAGUGCUAG
rnacentral:lncRNA from 1 species